UACGUAGGGGGCUAGCGUUGUCCGGAAUCAUUGGGCGUAAAGAGCGUGUAGGCGGCCCGGUAAGUCCGCUGUGAAAGUCGGGGGCUCAACCCUCGAAUGCCGGUGGAUACUGUCGGGCUAGAGUGCGGAAGAGGCGAGUGGAAUUCCUGGUGUAGCGGUGAAAUCCGCAGAUAUCAGGAGGAACACCAAUUGCGAAGGCAGCUCGCUGGGACGUAACUGACGCUGAGACGCGAAAGCGUGGGGAGCAAACAGG
rnacentral:rRNA from 1 species